GACGAACGCUGGCGGCGUGCUUAACACAUGCAAGUCGAACGGAAAGGCCCUGCUUUUGUGGGGUGCUCGAGUGGCGAACGGGUGAGUAACACGUGAGUAACCUGCCCUUGACUUUGGGAUAACUUCAGGAGACUGGGGCUAAUACCGGAUAGGAGCUCCUGCUGCAUGGUGGGGGUUGGAAAGUUUCGGCGGUUGGGGAUGGACUCGCGGCUUAUCAGCUUGUUGGUGGGGUAGUGGCUUACCAAGGCUUUGACGGGUAGCCGGCCUGAGAGGGUGACCGGCCACCUUGGGACUGAGAUACGGCCCAGACUCCUACGGGAGGCAGCAGUGGGGAAUAUUGCACAAUGGGCGGAAGCCUGAUGCAGCAACGCCGCGUGCGGGAUGACGGCCUUCGGGUUGUAAACCGCUUUCGCCUGUGACGAAGCGUGAGUGACGGUAAUGGGUAAAGAAGCACCGGCUAACUACGUG
rnacentral:rRNA from 1 species